rnacentral:lncRNA from 1 species
UCUUAAGGUAAGCUCGCCCAUUCUACUUUGUUUAAAAUACAGGGUUUGAAAAGGUUUAAACGCUGUGAUUAUUCUAAGCUCGGGGUUAUAUGUUGUAGGCUUUGAGCAUUGCCCGAGGCCUUUCUCUGAAGGGAAAAGAUGAGGCCCAAAAGACUACUGAACUCGAGAACUCUUCUCGAGCACUGGAGAAGAGGAUAGCCGAUUUGGAGGCUGAACGGUUCCUUCUCCGGAAGGAGCUCGAGGAUUCGAAAAAUGAUGCCCAUAGAGCUCGAGAAGAGGCUGGAACUGCUAAGGGCGAGGCUGAAUGUGUAAAGCUCGAGAUCGAGCGUUUGAAGGCUGAUUUUGAGGCUCGCCUGGCUGAAGCUCGAGGGGUCGCGAUUGAGGACUUUAAAAUGUCCGAGGAGUUUAACGGCCUCAAGGGGGAGUAUGCUAUGGGCUCGUACUUCCAUGCCUUCAAGGAAGCUCGGGCAUUUUUGAGAUCGAAGCCCGAUGCUAAUCCCGAGGAUCUAAAGAACAUCCCCGAGAUUGCUGAUACUCUCGAGCUGUCAGACUCCGAGGAAACCGCCGAGGACCAAGAGGUCGAUGUUGACGGCGAGGACGCGGUGGAGGAGCAGGGGAGCACAGCCUCGGGAGAAAGGGCCGAGGACUUAGAUUAGCCUUUGUUCCCUUCUGUUUUGUAAUUUGAACAUGUAUUUUACUCGAUAAAGUAUUUUUUCUUUUGCUGUGUUAAUGUAUCUCGAUCAUUCAAAUAUCUCGAUCAUUCAAAUCUCGACGCCUAGAGUAGUGAAACACCUCGAGGACAUAAUUCGUGAAAACAUUUUCUGAAUAUUAUAACGAACACAAAUUCAUCCCGAGGACUCAAACCGUAAAAUAUUUGGGAACAUCAUUGUUGACCCCGAGCAUUAAUCAAGUUACCUCGACGAGUAAAGAAGAUCCGAGGACAGUAUAGUUUUCUACACAAUUACAACUCGACGAUUAAGUUCAAGGGAUGGUCGUCCCCGAGGAGUAAGGAUAAUUCGUGACUGACCUAUGCACAUGAGUUUAUCCCGAGCUUUUAUUUUCAGGCUUGGACAAAAGUACAAUGUUAUAUGGUCGGGAUAUAUGUCCUCGGUAUUUAUACUUGUGCUGCACUAUUGUGCUGAUUAUGAGCUCCAAGUUCUUGGUGUUUGCUCGAGGGCAAGGCUUAAAAGGGCUUGCUCGAGGCCAAGGCUUAAAGGGGCUUGCUCGAGGGCAAGGCUUAAAGGGGCUUGCUCGAGGGCAAGGCUUGAAUUGGCUUGCUCGAGGGCAAGGCUUAAAGGGGCUUGCUCGAGGGCAAGGCUUGAAUUGGCUUGCUCGAGGGCAAGGCUUAAAUUGGCUCGUCAAAGACAAGGCUUAAAGGGGCUUGCUCGAGGGCAAGGCUUGAAUUGGCUGUUAUGCCCGAGGUUUGGAUUUAUUAAUUGUUCGGACUGGACUUGGAUUUAUAUUACAUCCAAGCUGCCUACGUACCCAAACGGGAUCAAGCCGAACGUAGUUCAUUACAAAAGAGAACGGAAAAUAUGCAUGGGCACGCAGGCCCGCUAUACUAGAAAUAAAAUGCAGGAAAAGAAAAUCUCCUUAAAGGCGUCGGGAAUUUUACUUGUAAUAUAUUUUCAAAUUGUCGGCAUUCCAGGGCCUCGGAAGAGGUCUACCCGAAGUGUCUCUUAGGCUGUAUGCUCCUUUGCGAACCUGCCGUAUGACCUCAAAGGGCCCUUCCCAGACGGGCCCGAGCUUCCCUGGGGGGUGGCCUGCUGCUUCGGCCCUCCUCAAGACCAAAUCGCCAGCUCUGAACCUCCGAGCCUUGACUUUGCGAUUAAAAUGUUUUGCUGUCUUUGCUUGGUAAGAGGCCACUUUUAUAGCGGCUUGCUCCCGAACUUCUUCCAAGAGAUCAAGAUGUUCAGUUGUAUGC